rnacentral:lncRNA from 1 species
UUUCUUCUUAACAAAAAAUCAGAAUUUCUUCUUUCCUAAAUCCAAUUCAAUCCAUUUCAUAUAUCAAAAAACAUAACAAUCAAACAUGAUUUCAAUUCCAAAUUCUAGUGUGUAAAGGCAUAAAUAGCCGUUAAAAUAUAAACCACAAGCCAUAACAGCAACAACAUCCCCAAUCUCACCUCAAUAACAUUCACCAUCGAAAGCAUAAAAAACAAACACCCCAUAACAGAUCAGAAAGCAGCGAUUCUCCUAGCUUCUUUACGACGUCGAUGUCGAUGUUGCAAGAGGAGUGAUUCUCCAAGUUUCUUUGAACCUGUUUGAACUGAAUCCUUCGUUCGAAACGGAAUCGGUGGUGGAGGAAGCGGAUGCGAUAGCAGAAGCGGAGGAGUGAGUCAACAAUCAGUGAUUCCGUCUUCCAAGCUUGAAAGAUAGUGCGCUGGUGUGUCAUGGUGGGUAUGCAAUAUUGCCUUGGUUCCAUGGUGCCUAUAUGCAGAUGGCAUGAAAUAUUUUGAUUCUUGCUUCUUGGUUUCGUAGUGCGUUUUUUGGGUGUGAUGUUUUGGUUCCUAUCUGGAUUGAAAUGGAU